rnacentral:tRNA from 1 species
GAGAACAUAGCUCAGUGGUAGAGUGUGUGCUUAGCAUGCAUGAGGUCCUGGGUUCAAUCCCCGGUACUUCCA